GGGGUUGUGCUCAGUGGUAGAGCGCUCGCCUAACAUAUGUGAGGCACUGGGUUCGAUCCUCAGCACCACA
rnacentral:tRNA from 1 species